rnacentral:lncRNA from 1 species
GAAAAAUUGACAGUAGUUCCAGUGUCCCCAUCAUUUAGAACCCUCCACAGCUAUAUCAGAUAAACAUGGUAGGAAAUUCAAAUAAAUAUUUGCCCAUUGCAUUAAACAUUAACCACUUUUCAAAGCACAUCUCAAUGCAUCCCAUAUUGCCGUGUAACCACAGUGCUGUGAUUUGACUGUGGAGCUGUUGUUGCCAUCUGGAUGGGAUAGAAGGGGGAGCUGAAAGAGAGAGAGGGAUAUGGGAAAUUACAAUGCAUCAUCUGCUCAGGUCAUUCAGUGUCUUGCAAGCUUAAUCAGGCUUUCUUCAUCCUCCAUUACACUCAUUAGGUCCUGUUCAGUUAGUGCUCAGUGUUGAUCUCUAUCUUGGUCAAGACAAUUGUUGCUGAUUAACUAUAAUUACUGGUAAUGAUCCCAACCUGCUUUCAGCGGGCACAUGCCAUCAUCUUGUCCAGGCGUCUGUUCUGCGGGUCAUGGAGGAAAAUGGAGAUUGCUGGCCAAUAUGUUGUAUCCCAGGAACGUCAAGUCCUUUUGAGAACUGAACGUCAAGUCCUUUUGACAACUGAUCCUUCAGAAAUCCAUCUUUCAGAUGGGAUAUUUGAGGAGCUAUCACUUGUGCACAAGGACAUGCAAGAAAACAAGAAAGUAAGAAAACAGCAUAAAUGGUGA